AGAGUUUGAUCCUGGCUCAGGACGAACGCUGGCGGCGUGCUUAACACAUGCAAGUCGAACGAGAAUCACUGGAAGGAGUUUUCGGACAACGGAAGGUGAGGACAGUGGCGGACGGGUGAGUAACGCGUGAGGAACCUGCCUUUCAGAGGGGGACAACAGUUGGAAACGACUGCUAAUACCGCAUGACACAUAGAGAUCGCAUGGUUUUUAUGUCAAAGAUUUAUCGCUGAAAGAUGGCCUCGCGUCUGAUUAGCUAGUUGGUGAGGUAACGGCCCACCAAGGCGACGAUCAGUAGCCGGACUGAGAGGUUGACCGGCCACAUUGGGACUGAGAUACGGCCCAGACUCCUACGGGAGGCAGCAGUGGGGAAUAUUGGGCAAUGGGCGCAAGCCUGACCCAGCAACGCCGCGUGAAGGAAGAAGGCUUUCGGGUUGUAAACUUCUUUUAAGAGGGAAGAGCAGAAGACGGUACCUCUAGAAUAAGCCACGGCUAACUACGUGCCAGCAGCCGCGGUAAUACGUAGGUGGCAAGCGUUGUCCGGAAUUACUGGGUGUAAAGGGAGCGUAGGCGGGAUGCCAAGUCAGCUGUGAAAACUAUGGGCUUAACUUGUAGACUGCAGUUGAAACUGGUAUUCUUGAGUGAAGUAGAGGUUGGCGGAAUUCCGAGUGUAGCGGUGAAAUGCGUAGAUAUUCGGAGGAACACCGGUGGCGAAGGCGGCCAACUGGGCUUUAACUGACGCUGAGGCUCGAAAGUGUGGGGAGCAAACAGGAUUAGAUACCCUGGUAGUCCACACUGUAAACGAUGAUAACUAGGUGUGGGGGGUCUGACCCCUUCCGUGCCGCAGCUAACGCAAUAAGUUAUCCACCUGGGGAGUACGACCGCAAGGUUGAAACUCAAAGGAAUUGACGGGGACCCGCACAAGCAGUGGAUUAUGUGGUUUAAUUCGAAGCAACGCGAAGAACCUUACCAGCACUUGACAUCCGACUAACGAAGUAGAGAUACAUUAGGUGCCCUUCGGGGAAAGUCGAGACAGGUGGUGCAUGGUUGUCGUCAGCUCGUGUCGUGAGAUGUUGGGUUAA
rnacentral:rRNA from 1 species